GGUUAAGCGACUAAGCGUACACGGUGGAUGCCCUGGCAGUCAGAGGCGAUGAAGGGCGUGCUAAUCUGCGAUAAGCGCCGGUAAGGUGAUAUGAACCGUUAUAACCGGCGAUACCCGAAUGGGGAAACCCAGUGUGAUUCGUCACACUAUCAUUAACUGAAUCCAUAGGUUAAUGAGGCGAACCGGGGGAACUGAAACAUCUAAGUACCCCGAGGAAAAGAAAUCAACCGAGAUUCCCCCAGUAGCGGCGAGCGAACGGGGAGGAGCCCAGAGCCUGAAUCAGCAUGUGUGUUAGUGGAAGCGUCUGGAAAGGCGCGCGAUACAGGGUGACAGCCCCGUACACAAAAGCGCAUGUGCUGUGAGCUCGAUGAGUAGGGCGGGACACGUGGUAUCCUGUCUGAAUAUGGGGGGACCAUCCUCCAAGGCUAAAUACUCCUGACUGACCGAUAGUGAACCAGUACCGUGAGGGAAAGGCGAAAAGAACCCCGGCGAGGGGAGUGAAAAAGAACCUGAAACCGUGUACGUACAAGCAGUGGGAGCCCCACCACCAAAGCAUUCUCUGGUGUUGAAGGCCCUGCAAAGCAGCAUCGCGGUGGCGGAGCGUCGUUUGCGACGCCCAACACACAAAACAAGCGGUGAGUGCUUUGGGGUGGGGUGACUGCGUACCUUUUGUAUAAUGGGUCAGCGACUUAUAUUCUGUAGCAAGGUUAACCGAAUAGGGGAGCCGGAGGGAAACCGAGUCUUAAUUGGGCGUUAAGUUGCAGGGUAUAGACCCGAAACCCGGUGAUCUAGCCAUGGGCAGGUUGAAGGUUGGGUAACACUAACUGGAGGACCGAACCGACUAAUGUUGAAAAAUUAGCGGAUGACCUGUGGCUGGGGGUGAAAGGCCAAUCAAACCGGGAGAUAGCUGGUUCUCCCCGAAAGCUAUUUAGGUAGCGCCUCGUGAAUUCAUCUCCGGGGGUAGAGCACUGUUUCGGCUAGGGGGCCAUCCCGGCUUACCAACCCGAUGCAAACUGCGAAUACCGGAGAAUGUUAUCACGGGAGACACACGGCGGGUGCUAACGUCCGUCGUGAAGAGGGAAACAACCCAGACCGCCAGCUAAGGUCCCAAAGUCAUGGUUAAGUGGGAAACGAUGUGGGAAGGCCCAGACAGCCAGGAUGUUGGCUUAGAAGCAGCCAUCAUUUAAAGAAAGCGUAAUAGCUCACUGGUCGAGUCGGCCUGCGCGGAAGAUGUAACGGGGCUAAACCAUGCACCGAAGCUGCGGCAGCGACACUCAGGUGUUGUUGGGUAGGGGAGCGUUCUGUAAGCCUGCGAAGGUGGCCUGUGAGGGUUGCUGGAGGUAUCAGAAGUGCGAAUGCUGACAUAAGUAACGAUAAAGCGGGUGAAAAGCCCGCUCGCCGGAAGACCAAGGGUUCCUGUCCAACGUUAAUCGGGGCAGGGUGAGUCGACCCCUAAGGCGAGGCCGAAAGGCGUAGUCGAUGGGAAACGGGUUAAUAUUCCCGUACUUGGUGUUACUGCGAAGGGGGGACGGAGAAGGCUAUGUUGGCCGGGCGACGGUUGUCCCGGUUUAAGCGUGUAGGUGUGUGUUCCAGGUAAAUCCGGUUCACUUUAACACUGAGGCGUGAUGACGAGGCACUACGGUGCUGAAGCAACAAAUGCCCUGCUUCCAGGAAAAGCCUCUAAGCAUCAGGUAACAUCAAAUCGUACCCCAAACCGACACAGGUGGUCAGGUAGAGAAUACCAAGGCGCUUGAGAGAACUCGGGUGAAGGAACUAGGCAAAAUGGUGCCGUAACUUCGGGAGAAGGCACGCUGACACGUAGGUGAAGUGAUUUACUCAUGGAGCUGAAGUCAGUCGAAGAUACCAGCUGGCUGCAACUGUUUAUUAAAAACACAGCACUGUGCAAACACGAAAGUGGACGUAUACGGUGUGACGCCUGCCCGGUGCCGGAAGGUUAAUUGAUGGGGUCAGCGCAAGCGAAGCUCCUGAUCGAAGCCCCGGUAAACGGCGGCCGUAACUAUAACGGUCCUAAGGUAGCGAAAUUCCUUGUCGGGUAAGUUCCGACCUGCACGAAUGGCGUAAUGAUGGCCAGGCUGUCUCCACCCGAGACUCAGUGAAAUUGAACUCGCUGUGAAGAUGCAGUGUACCCGCGGCAAGACGGAAAGACCCCGUGAACCUUUACUAUAGCUUGACACUGAACAUUGAGCCUUGAUGUGUAGGAUAGGUGGGAGGCUUUGAAGUGUGGACGCCAGUCUGCAUGGAGCCGACCUUGAAAUACCACCCUUUAAUGUUUGAUGUUCUAACGUGGACCCGUAAUCCGGGUUGCGGACAGUGUCUGGUGGGUAGUUUGACUGGGGCGGUCUCCUCCUAAAGAGUAACGGAGGAGCACGAAGGUUGGCUAAUCCUGGUCGGACAUCAGGAGGUUAGUGCAAUGGCAUAAGCCAGCUUGACUGCGAGCGUGACGGCGCGAGCAGGUGCGAAAGCAGGUCAUAGUGAUCCGGUGGUUCUGAAUGGAAGGGCCAUCGCUCAACGGAUAAAAGGUACUCCGGGGAUAACAGGCUGAUACCGCCCAAGAGUUCAUAUCGACGGCGGUGUUUGGCACCUCGAUGUCGGCUCAUCACAUCCUGGGGCUGAAGUAGGUCCCAAGGGUAUGGCUGUUCGCCAUUUAAAGUGGUACGCGAGCUGGGUUUAGAACGUCGUGAGACAGUUCGGUCCCUAUCUGCCGUGGGCGCUGGAGAACUGAGGGGGGCUGCUCCUAGUACGAGAGGACCGGAGUGGACGCAUCACUGGUGUUCGGGUUGUCAUGCCAAUGGCACUGCCCGGUAGCUAAAUGCGGAAGAGAUAAGUGCUGAAAGCAUCUAAGCACGAAACUUGCCCCGAGAUGAGUUCUCCCUGAGACUUUAAGUCUCCUGAAGGAACGUUGAAGACGACGACGUUGAUAGGCCGGGUGUGUAAGCGCAGCGAUGCGUUGAGCUAACCGGUACUAAUGAACCGUGAGGCUUAACCUUACAACGCCGAAGAUGUUUUG
rnacentral:rRNA from 1 species